rnacentral:rRNA from 1 species
AGAGUUUGAUCCUGGCUCAGAACGAACGCUGGCGGUAUGCUUAACACAUGCAAGUCGAACGGACUAUCUGGAGCUUGCUCUAGAUAUGUUAGUGGCAAACGGGUGAGUAACGCGUGGGAAUCUACCCAUCAGUACGGAACAACAUUCGGAAACGAAUGCUAAUACCGUAUAUUCUCUAUGGAGGAAAGAUUUAUCGCUGA